rnacentral:lncRNA from 1 species
GGCUGAUGUCGCUAUCUUGAGAACGGACUAUUACCAAAAGACAUGUCCUGAUUUCAACAGAAUCGUGCGUGAAGCCGUUACAGCCAAACAACUUCAACAACCAACAACAGCUGCCGGGACACUCCGUCUCUUCUUCCAUGAUUGUUUCCUUGAAGGUUGUGAUGCAUCCGUCUUGAUUGCGACCAACUCGUUUAACAAAGCGGAACGUGAUGAUGAUCUCAACGAUUCCCUCCCCGGAGAUGCUUUUGACAUCGUCGCUCGCAUCAAGACAGCUCUCGAGUUGUCUUGUCCUGGUGUAGUGUCUUGCGCAGAUAUUCUAGCACAGGCCACAC